rnacentral:rRNA from 1 species
GGACUACCGGGGUAUCUAAUCCUGUUUGCUACCCACGCUUUCGUGCCUCAGCGUCAGUUAUGGUCCAGAAAGCCGUCUACACCACAGGUGUUCCUCCUGAUAUCUACGCAUUUCACCGCUACACCAGGAAUUCCACUUUCCUCUCCCAUACUCUAGCUUCUCAGUAUUCGGCGCACCCUCCCGGUUAAGCCAGGAGAUUUCACACCAAACUUAAAAAGCCGCCUACGCACCCUUUACGCCCAGUAACUCCGAACAACGCUUGCUGCCUACGUAUUACCGCGGCUGCUGGCAC